rnacentral:rRNA from 1 species
GACGAACGCUGGCGGCGUGCCUAAUACAUGCAAGUCGAACGCAGUGGGGACGGGUGAGUAACACGUGGGUAACCUCCCAUCAGAGGGGAUAACACUUGGAAACAGGUGCUAAACCGAUACUGAUGGAUGGACCCGCGGUGCAUUAGCUAGUUGGUGAGGUAACGGUUCACCAAGGCCACGAUGCAUAGGUGACCUGGGAGGGUGAUCGGGCACACUGGGACUGAGACACGGCCCAGAAUCCUAAGGGAGGCAGCAGUAGGGAAGCUUCGGCAAUGGACGAAAGUCUGAACGAGCAACGACGCGUGAGUGAAGAAGGUUUUGGGAUCGUAAAACUCUGUUGUUAGAGAAGCGGUAUCUAACCAGAAAGCCACGGCUAACUACGUGCCAGCCGCCGCGGUAGUUC